AAUCCUCCUUCUAACAAAAUAUUGUAUUAGACUUAGAAUCUAAAUAUCCCACU
rnacentral:tRNA from 1 species